rnacentral:rRNA from 1 species
AGCCAAUAGAUACCCGGGUAGUCCACGCCCUAAACGAUGUCUACUAGUUGUUGGUGGAGUAAAAUCCAUGAGUAAACGCAGCUAAACGCGUGAAGUAGACCGCCUGGGGAGUACGGUCGCAAGAUUAAGACUCAAAGGAAUUGACGGGGGCCCGCACAAGCGGUGGAUUAUGUGGAUUAAUUCGAUGCAACGCGAAAACCUUAACCUGGCCUUGACAUGCCACUAACGAAGCAGAGAUGCAUUAGGUGCCCGUAAGGGAAAGUGGACACAGGUGCUGCAUGGCUGUCGUCAGCUCGUGUCGUGAGAUGUUGGGUUAAGUCCCGCAACGAGCGCAACCCUUGCCAUUAAUUGCCAUCAUUUAGUUGGGCAC